rnacentral:rRNA from 1 species
UACGGAGUUACAAAGGACGACAUUAGACGAAUCAUCUGGAAAGAUGAAUCAAAGAAGGUAAUAAUCCUGUAGUCGAAAAUGUUGUCUCUCUUGAGUGGAUCCUGAGUACGACGGAGCACGUGAAAUUCCGUCGGAAUCUGGGAGGACCAUCUCCUAAGGCUAAAUACUCUCUAGUGACCGAUAGUGAACCAGUACCGUGAGGGAAAGGUGAAAAGCACCCCGGAAGGAGAGUGAAAUAGAACCUGAAACCGUGUGCUUACAAGUAGUCAGAGCCCGUUAAUGGGUGAUGGCGUGCCUUUUGUAGAAUGAACCGGCGAGUUACGAUUUGAUGCAAGGUUAAGCAGUAAAUGUGGAGCCGUAGCGAAAGCGAGUCUGAAUAGGGCGUUUAGUAUUUGGUCGUAGACCCGAAACCAGGUGAUCUACCCUUGGUCAGGUUGAAGUUCAGGUAACACUGAAUGGAGGACCGAACCGACUUACGUUGAAAAGUGAGCGGAUGAACUGAGGGUAGCGGAGAAAUUCCAAUCGAACCUGGAGAUAGCUGGUUCUCUCCGAAAUAGCUUUAGGGCUAGCCUCAA